AUAUACACUGCACAUAGAAAGAAACCUUCAAAAAAGGACAAAAAGGGAGGGGCCCACUUGAGAUAUUCCAUUUUUCCAAAUUCAUAUAGGGAAUAAUAGACCAGUAUAUGGGAUUCUCUCAACAAUAUACAGAGAACACAAUACACUCUCACAAGAUUUUUUUUCACUAACCUCACGCCAUAGACAUACACAUAGGCCUCUCACAAUCUCAAUUCCCACUCACCUCAUCAUAUACAUUAACAAUAUAUACAUCACACAGAUCCCUCAUCACUUAGGUAAUAUACAUCCACAUCACACACAGAGAGAAGAGAGAUUGAGAGUAAGAGGUCAAGGAGAGAACAGACCGGAGAAAACAUCAAAACAGAAGAGAAAAACUCGAAAAAUGGAGUAGAAAUGGGAAGGGAAUAAUCUGACAAUGAGCAGUUUCUGAUUGGGUCUGGCCGAAAAUUUCAAGUUUUGCCGAAAAAUACAAAAAGCUGGUUCGUUUGGUAUUCGUUGUUGGUUCGGGGAUUUAGAUUUCAGUUCAUCUUAACUCGUUCGUUGAGUUCAGUUUUGGGUUUCAAUUCCUCAAUACUGAGUUGGAUCUUGAUCGCAUUGAGGUUCCUUGUUCGAGGUUUUCGGUUUUGGAUUUCUCUAUUAUCAACGAAAACGAGUUCUAUUGAGGUCCACUCCUUUAACUCGCUCUCUUUUUCUUUAUUUUGGUUGUUUAAAUUGACUAUGACUAUGUGUUUGUCUAUUCUGAUUGUUGGAUGUUUGCUGAUGUUAUUGAUGUUAUGAUCAUGUGCUUGGUGAUAUGAUUUCAAGGGUUUGAGGAACAAAUUUGUUAGUUUUAAUUGUGCUAUUGAUAGGAAAGAAUUUGGGGCGCGAAUUGACAAAUUGCUAAAAUGGAUUAGGAUUAAUUUUGAUUUAUUGUUGUUUUGAUUCAUUGACGCCAUCGAUCGGGAUAGUGCCAUGAUAGGUCGAGUUGGGUAGGCAAAAGGUAGGUUGGGUAGGCAAAGUUUACUGUGAUUUGUUGAACGUGUGAAUAUUUAUUGAAUGGUUCUUUCUAUUUUAUCGCAUUAAAAAUGUAUUCAUUUGGCCGGGGAAUGCCCCGAGAGAUUUGUAUUGAUUUAUCCGAGGAAUACCCCGAAGUAUCAUGUACUUGAAGACGGCGCACGAUCAAGGCCCGGAACAUCAGGUGGAGAAAGUAAUGGAGCAUAGUUAUGAUUAGUUUAGAACAAGACAGGUUUAUAUUUUCGCAUUUUUUAUUUUUUCGGGAUUAUAUAAGUGGACUGGACUUUAAAUUUUGGAUUGUUUUGUCUUGUUUGUUUGAUCGAUUGUUUUUGCUUGUUU